UUUAUCAAUGGUCAUUUUGCGUAAUGCAUUAUUAAAGACAAGACACAUUGUCAGAGGUAUUCUAGUUCCGUCCAUCAUAUCCUUGAUAGCACACUCUUUACCGCUGUUGCAAGAAAAAUGACUCAAGGAGUUUUGUGAUUUUGACAUUAUUCUACCGAUUAACCAUCAUGUUCCCUCCGCUCCUCUCAGUAUGUUAUUUCAUGAUAGUGACUCUCGCGCUGAAAUACGAUUAUUUUGUAGUCGACCGUCUUUUUGGUCUUGAAUGAGUGCAUUGGGAAUAAAGAAGGUUGAAAAUGAACCCCGAAUCGCCAGGACUAUUGGCAUAACGAAGAGAAUGGCAGGAAGUUUGAUACAAAAAUGAUAUUUUGGGGUCUGUUGCACAGGUAGAGGGAUGAAUAAAAUUUAUUGCAUAAUCUGAA